GGACGGACGGACGGAUGGACGGACGGACGGACGGAAAGCUCAUUUAUCAGCGGAAACAUUCUCCCACAUGAAACCCAUAUCUAUGCACGUCCAGCCAUGGAUGUCCUAUCGCACUGGGAUUACUGGAAGCUCCACGUUAUAAUUGAAACCGACCGACCACUGCAUGAAAAUCAAAACAGGGACCCGAUGUUCCAGGCUGAUGGCUGCUUUCAGCAGAGGCGUCUCUGAUAAGAAGAGGAAAAUGAUGCUCGAGGGUGAACCCUGCCUCUCGCCCAUAGACUGCUGGAGAUAGGCACUAGCUUCCCCGCGACCCACUAUGGAAGAAGCGGUAUAGAAGAUGACUGACUGUUUCUUUGUGUCUAAGUUCAGCUUCCUUUGUGUUAAUUAGUCUCCUUCUUUCUGCUAACCCUCUGCCUCAGCGGCUUCACAUUAUAUCCUGAUGAACACAGCAGCAUCCUAUGUCAUUUUCACACUUCCCUCAGUAUAUAAGCUCUCUGGUUCCCAUUGUUUGCUGCUGGAUCCUUCCAUUUCUAUUUCCCAUAUGCUCCCCAUUUUUCACGCCUGUGACAAUGUGCUUACGUUCAGCUUUUCUUGUGCUUUUUGUAAAAAUUUUCCAUUUAAUUAUUGAAGCAGUACUCUGCUCAUCCCAUGUUCCUGUCUCAGCUAACCAACACCUCAUGACAGCUAGAAGAUAGAAACAGCCCUGAAGCCUCACAGAAGAGGUGGCACCUGAUUUUUCUCUGCUUCCUCCUAACUUAUAAGAAGAUGACCAGAAAAUGUUGGGUUUGAACGAUGAACAAAAUGUAUUCCUAGUUCACACUUUCAUAAAGUCCUUUCACAUGCUUGCUUUUUAAAAUUAUUUUAUUCACAACAGCUUCCAGACCAACAAAUUGUUGAUGAAAGCACAAAAGUCCAAAAUGGUCCGAAACACAUUUAAGGUCUUCCUCACUAACCACCCUUCAUCCUGAAGGACCUGCUGAAACUUUAUAUCCAGCCCCAAGGUUUUUCUAGAAGGAACCGAGGUUCUGGUUCCCUUAUCACGUCAGGUCCCUGAGAUUUUUGAAGUCAUGGAUGGAUUUGAGACCUGCAGAAUGAUCACAUCUGAACAGUAACUGCAUGAUCUAAUCUGCUUUGGGCCAAAUGAGCAAAGGAACCACAAGGUGCUGUACAGGAGGUCCAUUGUAAAACAUAUCUCCACAGUUCAGCUUACCUUUUAGACGUUUCUUGACAGUUUCUUACCUUUGUGGGUUUUUAUGGGCUGUAAACCUAAAACCCUUAAAGACGGACACCUCCUUUUGCUGAAACAGGACAGCACUCUAUGUUUUUCAGCUUCAGGGAUCUGAAUGAAUAUGGAUGUUUGGUCAGCAGGGAUCUCAGAGGAGAUUUGAGAAUGUUUCAUUAGUUGGUCUUAAUGAACCAGUGAAGAGGUUUGUCCUAAAGUACUACAGUAGGACAUAUUCAGAGAUGCCAGGGUUUCUACAGAGUAGUAGCCGGAACCAUUUAGGUUUUGGAAAAAUUCUUGCUGCUGCACAGUUCUGUCCAGUAAUACCUUUGGAUUGUGGCGUUUGGACAUGUCUGCUGCUGCUGCAACAAGGUGCCAUCAGUGAGACAAUCAAGUUUUUGCACAGAAACCUUCUGAUAGGACUAUUAGACACAAACAUUACAGAAGGUGUCACGGUGUGACAUUUUGGACUUUGGUUUUGGUGUCUUGUGAUGGUUUAUUUUGUCUAGAUGUUUCUAUCAUGUUUAUUAGUUUCUUUUCCUCCCUCUACCAUCUCCUUGUGUGUAUUGUGUUCCUCUAACUCUUAGUUCCUUUUGUUGUUGCUUUCCUUUUUUUUGUAUUAUUAUUAUUCACCCUUGGAUUCUUAUUUAGUAUCUCUGUGUUUAGUUAUGGUUAUGUAUUUGUUCUUAUUCCAGCUUUAG